rnacentral:tRNA from 1 species
GGGGUUGUAAACUCAGUGGUAGAGUGCUCACCUAGCAUGUGUGAGGUCCUGGGUUCAAUCCUCAGCACCA